rnacentral:rRNA from 1 species
CGCGAAACCUUUACACUGCACGCCAGUGCGAUAAGGGGACUCCAAGUGCGAGGGCAUAUCGUCCUCGCUUUUCACCACCGUAAGGUGGUGGUGGAAUAAGGGCUGGGCAAGACCGGUGCCAGCCGCCGCGGUAAUACCGGCAGCCCGAGUGAUGACCGCUAUUAUUGGGCCUAAAGCGUCCGUAGCUGGCCUCGCAAGUCCAUCGGGAAAUCCGCGCGCUCAACGCGCGGGCGUCCGGUGGAAACUGCGUGGCUUGAGACCGGAAGACCUGAGGGGUACGUCUGGGGUAGGAGCGAAAUCCUGUAAUCCUGGACGGACCACCGGUGGCGAAAGCGCCUCAGGAGGACGGAUCCGACGGUGAGGGACGAAAGCUCGGGUCACGAACCGGAUUAGAUACCCGGGUAGUCCGAGCUGUAAACGAUGUCUGCUAGGUGUGCCACAGGCUACGAGCCUGUGGUGUGCCGUAGGGAAGCCGUGAAGCAGACCGCCUGGGAAGUACGUCCGCAAGGAUGAAACUUAAAAGAAUUGGCGGGGGAGCACUACAACCGGAGGAGCCUGCGGUUUAAUUGG